rnacentral:SRP_RNA from 1 species
GCUGGGCGUGGUGGCUUAUGCCUGUAAUCCCAGCACUUUGGGAGGCUGAGGUGGGAGGAUUGCUUGAGCCCAGGAGUUUGAAACCAGCCUGGGCAACAUAGCGAGAUCCCAUCUCAU